GGACCUGACUGCUAUCGGAUUGAUACUAAGCCAUGCGAGUCAUUGUAGCAAUACAAGGCAUACGGCUCAGUAACGCGUAGUCAACCUAACCUAUGGACGGGAAUAACCUCGGGAAACUGAGAAUAAUGCCCGAUAGAACAUUAUGCCUGGAAUGGUUUAUGUUCCAAAUGAUUUAUCGCCGUAGGAUGGGACUGCGGCCUAUCAGUUUGUUGGUGAGGUAAUGGCCCACCAAGACUAUUACAGGUACGGGCUCUGAGAGGAGUAGCCCGGAGAUGGAUACUGAGACACGGACCCAGGCCCUAUGGGGCGCAGCAGGCGAGAAAACUUUGCAAUGUGCGAAAGCACGACAAGGUUAAUCCGAGUGGUUUCUGCUAAAGAAACCUUUUGUCAGUCCUAGAAACACUGAUGAAUAAGGGGUGGGCAAGUUCUGGUGU
rnacentral:rRNA from 1 species